UUGUUGCUUCCUCUUAUUGGCAUCUUCUUCCCUAGAUAUUCUUCAUAAUUCACUCAGGACUUGGCUCAAAUGUCACUUCAUCGGGGAGGCCCUUCUUCCUCACCAGUCACCUUCUAUUCCUUCAUCCUGCCUCAUUUGUCUUCCUACUGACUCUCACCAUCGAAGUUAUAUUAUUUGUUUGUUUAUUGUCUGUCUCCUUCCAUGAGAAUGUCUACCGUGUUUACUGCUACCUUUCCAGCAUGCAGAACAGUGUCUGGCAUUAGAGAAGGCACUAAAUAAAGAAGUCUUGGUGGAAUUAAUGAAGAAAUUAAUGAUGCUCCUGGAAGACAAGGACCACAACGCUCUUGCCUGGAGAACUCAGGAAUUGAAAGUAUCACUCGGUAUUUGGUUACAGAGGUGCUGUUCAAUCAGGAGAAAUAUAAUCAAAAGGAUGACCACGGAAAGAUUUCCAAAACUACCUUGAUUUCCCAAUUAUAGGCAGAGUUCAACAUUCUAAAUAAAGCCAUAAGCAAUGACACCUGGGUUCCUUUGCUNNNNNNNNNNNNNNNNNNNNNNNGACCUUUUUCUCCUUGAUGUAUUAAUAGCUGCCUACAGAUAGUAUUAAUAAACCAGUCACAGUCUCUAGAUGCUGUUCCAUCCCUGACCUACUCCUGUCUCUAUGAGAUGGGAAAUUGUUCUCUGAAGACAGAAAUGUGCUUAUGUAAGUGCAUGUACACAUUCUCAUCCCCUUCGGCAAUAAUGCCUUAAGGAAAAAAAGGUGUUUUUCAAGAUGUGGCCAUAAAACUAUCUGGUAGGACCUUAUAAUCUCAGGGCCAGAAGUAAAAAAAAUAGCACAGAAAGGGAAAUUUCCACCAAUGUCACAGAACCGCAGCAGCAAAGAAGCUGUUUCCCAAACAACAUAAUCACUAAGCCACGUGACCUUUGCUGCCAUGUGACAAGUGAGAAAUCCUCUAAAUUAAAUCGGUCGGAAUGGCGAACCUGAGAGGCGCCCCCUGACUGAGACCUCCAGCGGCAGGGCAAAGGGCCAGGCUGGGA
rnacentral:lncRNA from 1 species